rnacentral:rRNA from 1 species
UACAGAGGUCUCAAGCGUUGUUCGGAUUCAUUGGGCGUAAAGGGUGCGUAGGCGGCGCGGUAAGUCGGGUGUGAAAUCUUGGAGCUUAACUCCGAAACUGCAUUCGAUACUGCCGUGCUUGAGGACUGGAGAGGAGACUGGAAUUUACGGUGUAGCGGUGAAAUGCGUAGAUAUCAGGAGGAACACCGGUGGUGUAGACGGCUUUCUGGACCGUAACUGACGCUGAGACACGAAAGCGUGGGUAGCAAACAGG